CAUGCUGGGACAUUCCAACAAGCAGGGUCUGUGAGCCAGGGCCCGAGAGAGGCAGUGGUGAGAAAAACCUUCUCCCAGUGGGGAAAACGUGUGCAGACAGAUGAGCAAGUCCAUGGGAAUGCAGCAAACUCCAGCCCAAUAUCUUACAGGCUAAGCCAGCAAUGACACAGCAAUGACGGCCACUCAGCAAAUGGAAGAGGGAACAGACUUCCCUGUGGCCAUUUCAGACACCAGGACGAGGGCUACAUGGCAGUCACAGAAGGAAGACUUGGCUCACUACACACAACUAGGGUCUGCUCCUUUGACCUGCCUUGAAGUGAAUUAUUCAUCACUUAAAUAUUGAAUUAGAGUUGUCCGAAGAUCUACAAAGCAUGCUGUGGAGGGAAUUCCUGUGUUGAGUGGGAAAUCGGACUAGGAAAUUUGAGUCGGGUCAACUGUGCUUUUACUUUUUACCCCAUUAUGGCUCCUUUUAAUGACUUGAGCUAACCGACAUAGGAUACACAAGGAGUGGGGAAAAGCCAGCUUCAGGCAUUGGCCUCUACUACAAAUAUAAUGUACUCAGAUUACUUCC